GAUUGAGCAGUGAGGCUGCAGGGGCAUGUUCUAUACACCAAAACUGCUUCAUUAAGCUAAAGUUGUUCAGGUGACUAUAGUGUCCUUUUAACAUUUUUGGAAAUACUUUACAAAGUAUUUAUCUACAGAAGUCACCAUUAAAAUGUAUGAGAAUUUGUGUAGAUAAAGGUGCAAACCAUUCACAAGUCUCAAGAAUAGAUAGGCCAGAUUAGACUUUGCCAAUAAAACAUAAAAAAAAAAGCCAGCCAAGUUAUGGAUCUGCA